rnacentral:rRNA from 1 species
AGUGAACGCUGGCGGUAGGCCUAACACAUGCAAGUCGAACGGCAGCACAGUAAGCGCUUGCUCUUACGGGUGGCGAGUGGGGGACGGGUAAGAAAUCGAUCGGAAUCUACUUUUUCGUGGGGGAUAACGUCGGGAAACUUACGCUAAUACCGCAUACGCCCUACGGGUGAAAGCAGGGGAUCUUCGGAGAUUGCGCGACUGAAUGAGCCGAUGUCGGAUUAGCUAGUUGGCGGGGCAAAGGCCCACCAAGGCGGCGAUCCGUAGCUGGUCUGAUAGGAUGAUCAGCGACACUGGAACGGAGACACGGUCCAGACGCCUACGGGAGGCAGCAGUGGGGAAUAUUGGAGAAUGGGCGCAAGCCUGAUCCAGCCAUGCCGCGGGGGGGAAGAUGGCCUUCGGGUUGUAAAGCCCUUUUUUUGGGAGAGAAGAGCAGCAGGUUUAUAUCUCGCUGCUCUGACGGUACCUAAAGAAUAAGCACCGGCUAACUUCGUG